GACGAACGCUGGCGGCGUGCUUAACACAUGCAAGUCGAACGGAAAGGCCCUGCUUUUGUGGGGUGCUCGAGUGGCGAACGGGUGAGUAACACGUGAGUAACCUGCCCUUGACUUUGGGAUAACUUCAGGAAACUGGGGCUAAUACCGGAUAGGAGCUCCUGCUGCAUGGUGGGGGUUGGAAAGUUUCGGCGGUUGGGGAUGGACUCGCGGCUUAUCAGCUUGUUUGUGGGGUAGUGGCUUACCAAGGCUUUGACGGGUAGCCGGCCUGAGAGGGUGACCGGCCACAUUGGGACUGAGAUACGGCCCAGACUCCUACGGGAGGCAGCAGUGGGGAAUAUUGCACAAUGGGCGGAAGCCUGAUGCAGCAACGCCGCGUGCGGGAUGACGGCCUUCGGGUUGUAAACCGCUUUCGCCUGUGACGAAGCGUGAGUGACGGUAAUGGGUAAAGAAGCACCGGCUAACUACGUG
rnacentral:rRNA from 1 species